rnacentral:lncRNA from 1 species
CACAGGGGAGCUUUUAAAACUGCUCUUCAGUUUGGGGUUUUUCUGGGCAGCAGUUUUAUCCAGGACUCUGGGCAAAGUUGAUAGUUUUUGUCUGAUUUCAACCAGAGCAAGGGAAAAUAAAGGGUGGAAACAACUGACACAAAAGUUGCUGCAGGUGGAAUACAUUUUGCAUGUUACAGGUGUGGAGCUGGACCUAAAACCCUUAUUUAUAUCAUCAGUUUCAUCAUAACUCAUGUUCUGAAUUACAAACAUCAUGUGAACCACCCCUUGAAACAUGACCUCUUUACAUGAUCAGAACAUACCUCCAGUGACCCCCAGGUCAAACUGAGGCUUCCAUCUGCACUCGCCAGACAUUUAUUGCUGAUAAUUAUUACACCAGUUGAAGGACGUAUUUUCUAGCUGAUAUCCUGCUGUUGUUAUGAG